rnacentral:rRNA from 1 species
UUGGAGGGCAAGUCUGGUGCCAGCAGCCGCGGUAAUUCCAGCUCCAAUAGCGUAUAUUAAAGUUGUUGCAGUUAAAAAGCUCGUAGUUGAAUUUCGGGGUCAGUAGGUUGGUCAUGCCACUGGUAUGUACUGGUCUCACUGAUUCCUCCUUCCUGAUGAGCCGUAAUGCCAUUAAUUUGGUGUCGUGGGGAAUCAGGACUGUUACUUUGAAAAAAUUAGAGUGUUUAAAGCAGGCUUACGCUUGAAUACAUUAGCAUGGAAUAAUGAAAUAGGACGUUGGAUUCUAUUUUGUUGGUUUCUAGGAUUGACGUAAUGAUUAAUAGGGAUAGUUGGGGGCAUUAGUAUUCAAUUGUCAGAGGUGAAAUUCUUGGAUUUAUUGAAGACUAACUACUGCGAAAGCAUUUGCCAAGGAUGUUUUCAUUAAUCAAGAACGAAAGUUAGGGGAUCGAAGACGAUCAGAUACCGUCGUAGUCUUAACCAUAAACUAUGCCGACUAGGGAUCGGAUGAUGUUAAUUUUUUAAUGACUCAUUCGGCGCCUUACGGGAAACCAAAGUGUUUGGGUUC